rnacentral:tRNA from 1 species
AACGUAAUAGCUCAGCUGGAUAGAGUAUCCCGAUUUUUAAUCGGGACGGUCGAAGGUUCGAAUCCUUCUGCGUUC